rnacentral:rRNA from 1 species
CGUCCGCCGGCGACCGGCGCACGGGUGAGUAACACGUAUGCAACCUGGCCGCCACAGGGGGAUAACCCGCGGAAACGCGGCCUAAUACCCCGUGACGCCACCGGAGGGCAUCCUCCGGUGGCCAAAGGAGCGAUCCGGUGGCGGAUGGGCAUGCGGCGCAUUAGCUAGACGGCGGGGUGACGGCCCACCGUGGCGACGAUGCGUAGGGGUUCUGAGAGGAAGGUCCCCCACAUUGGAACUGAGACACGGUCCAAACUCCUACGGAAGGCAGCAG